ensembl:lncRNA
GAAUCAAUCCCAUAUGUAAAGAAUUGUCGGUGAAAUAGUUAUCAUGUGAUAAGACUGAAAAGUUCUAAAUAUCAUCGACAUUCGCAAAUUACUGAUUUGACAACGUAACAGAAAAAAUCCGACAUCCCUACUCCUCUACAUUUGUUCUCCUGAUGUCGCACUAGUACCUGAAGGAAAACAUCGCGAGAUUUGGUUGCCUUGGCUGCAGCACAGAGUGACGCUAGAGGAUGUUUGAGGUUUAGCGGCAGAGAAAUCACCCGAAAAUUUGCCUGACUAACGGAGGUAAACGACUCUGGGCCCGAGAAGAACUGGUAAUGAGAACGCCGCCGCCUCCUCCACCCACUCUAAAUCAGGAGCCGAAGGAUCUGCAGGUGCCUCCUCUGGUGCUGAAAGGCACACAGCCUAACUGACCAAUUUAGCUCACUUACCGGAGAGAACGAGGCCCCAUUAUCAGACAUCUGCCUUUGGCUCGAUUCAGCCCGAGUUAGCUUGAUAUCGUGAUGGAGUAGGCAGGAGACUCUUGUGUGGCUGGUGAGGAGAAUUUGUUUAUUCAGAAUGACGAAGUGUCCAUAAGGCGAUGUCUCAGCAACAUGAUGUUCACAGAAUUCUUCUUCUUCUUCUUCUUCUUCUUCUUCUUCUCUUGCAUGAACAUGGCGCCAGCUCACAUGACAUGGGUGGAUGGAAACAUUUGUCAUGAAAUAAAAUAAUGCCAUGAAAUAAAAACCACUGAAAUCCUUCAGUUAAAUGCAGCUAAGAUCCAGCUUUUCUGUAAGACAUGGGUCAUAAACAGAGACAGAGCUGAACUUGAAUUUAUCUCUAUGGCAGUGAAGGCGUGUGUAACCAGAAAUUGGCUACAGAUGG